rnacentral:rRNA from 1 species
UACGUAGGUGGCAAGCGUUGUCCGGAUUUACUGGGCGUAAAGAGCGCGCAGGCGGUCGGAUAAGUCGAAUGUGAAAGCCCCCGGCUCAACUGGGGAGGGUCAUUCGAUACUGUUCGACUCGAAGGCAGGAGAGGGAAGUGGAAUUCCCGGUGUAGUGGUGAAAUGCGUAGAUAUCGGGAGGAACACCGGUGGCGAAGGCGGCUAUCUGGACAGAGUCUGACGCUGAGGCGCGAAAGCUAGGGGAGCAAACAGG